rnacentral:rRNA from 1 species
AUUGAACGCUGGCGGCAGGCCUAACACAUGCAAGUCGAGCGGAUGAAGGGAGCUUGCUCCUGGAUUCAGCGGCGGACGGGUGAGUAAUGCCUAGGAAUCUGCCUGGUAGUGGGGGAUAACGUCCGGAAACGGGCGCUAAUACCGCAUACGUCCUGAGGGAGCAAGUGGGUGAUCUUCGGACCUCACGCUAUCAGAUGAGCCUAGGUCGGAUUAGCUAGUUGGUGGGGUAAAGGCCUACCAAGGCGAGGAUCCGUAACUGGUCUGAGAGGAUGAUCAGUCACACUAGAACUUAGACACGGUCCAGACUCCUACGGGACGCAGCAGUGGGGAAUAUUGGACAAUGGGCGAAAGCCUGAUCCAGCCAGGCCGCGUGUGAUGAGAAGGUCUUCGGAUUGUAAAGCACUUUAAGUGGGGAGGAAGGGCAGUAAGUUAAUACCUUGCUGUUUUGACGUUACCAACAGAAUAAGCACCGGCUAACUUCGUG